rnacentral:lncRNA from 1 species
AUUGUAUCUUAUGCAACAGUAAAGCUGCAACGAAGACAAGGCACCGAUACUGGCGUCCCUUGCUUGGGGAGCCUGUUCAGUGACUAUGUAAAGGAUGGGGCACCUGCGGGGCUGGCUCGGGGGUGAAGCAGCUCCCACUAGGUCAGGUCACGACCUCCGGGUCCUGGGAUUCAGCCCCGCAGUGGGCGCCUGCUCAGCGGGGCAUCUGCUUCUCCCUCCCAGGCCCUCUCCCUGCUGGGGUGCACACGCCCUCUCUCUCUCUUAAAUAAAUAAGUAAAAUCCUUUUUUGUUUUUUUUUUAAGACUGUGCUGGCUGGCAUUCAUGCCGCAUGACUACAACGUUCCCUACGAUGUAGCAGGCGCAUGUCGAAAAAGUCCCUUUCAGGUGACCUUGGCUCUCGGGGCCUUCCUGUGUUUCCCGCUCUCAGGGCCAGUCCGGGAGUGGUCCGGCUCGGGAACCCCUCCGACCCCAACACAGCGGAGACAAAAGCAAGCCCUUCAGUAUCCUGGCGGAUCAAUGCUUCUUGGAGGGCCUGCGUGUUGGAAGAACCAGGCCUGGAUGGAGACUUUUGUUGCACUUGCGUGAUUUUUCUCCCUAAAGAGCCAGCGUGUGACCGUGUGACCUGAGUGUUGAAGACAAAUGACUGAACACACUUGUACGGCGGGAAAGGAGCUUUCCGCGAGCUCAGCUUCCCCAUUCGACCCCUGCGGAGCCUGAGGGUCGCGUCAGGCCGCCCGCUGUGGUGCUCGGCCGAGGGGGGCGCCCAGCCACGGCCCGUCCGGGUGACACGACGCGGGAGGUGACAGCGGACCGGGCCGUACGCAACAGGGAAGAGCAGUGGGGUUGACAGCCAACUAGUCAGCGCAGCCCCCCCCUCGUGAAGGCAAAUGUUAUAAACAAUCCAGUGGAACACACGGGACCACAAUCCUUUUUAUCAAAAGGCCUUUUGUGGGGGCAACUGGGUGGUGCAGCCGGUUGAGCCUCGACCCCGGUUUCUGCUCAGGUGACCUCGGGGUCCUGGGGUGGAGCCCUGCCCGGGGCUCAGGCUCCACGGCUCUGCUUGACUUGCUCUCUCCCUCUCCCUUUGCACACCCC